CCCACUGAGCCGCUCAGGUGCCCCAAUAAAUAAAAUCUUAGAAAAAAAAAAAAAAAAGAUACACACUGGUCUUUUCAGGACCAUGGUAUCCUUUUACAGCUCAGGUAUCUCAUGACUCCUGGCUCCGGGUAGUGUUUCACCACCACCGGUCACUCUCAAACCAAUACAGAACUUCAACAAACUAACCACCAGGUGAAAUAAUGGGAAUAAACUAGCAGUUUAUCUAAUUUCCUGAAGUUUCUAUGUUCCGUGCACACUAGCUUUGGAACCUUUCAGAAAGAUGAACUUUAUUUUUCUCUUAAUUUUUAAAAUUAUUCAAGAUUUGAGAGAGAGAAAGGGAGAGCAUGCGCAUGAGUCGGGGGGUGGGACAGAAGCAGAGGGGGGACCCCCGAGCCGACUCUCCAUGGAGCUCGGAGCCGGACACGGGGCUUGAUCCCACAACCGUGAAAUCAUGACCUGAGACAAAAUCAAGAGCCAGACUCUUGAAUGACUGAACCACCCAGGUGCCCCCAAGAUAAACUUUAUAGACCAAAAAAGGCUUCCCAGACGCUGCCAAAUGUCUCCCCGUUCAGUCCCUCCUUCCCCAUUUAGAACCACUGCUCUAGCCACCGCAGGGCUCCCCCGGGGGGAGACCAGGUGCCCACCUCCACAGACAGGAAGAGAGGAAACCCGGGAGGGACUGAGCCCUCAGGCCCAGCUCUGUUUUCCAGACUCGCUGCCAGAGAAGCCACCGCUUUUCCUCUGAGAGGUGUGAUGCACAAGAGUCCUACUUCAAUGUCAAGUUCCUCACACCAAUGCCCUUCCCCUGAGAAGCCUUCCUUCUCUCCUUGUUCACUCUGUUUUCUACCUUCUCUCUGCGGAACCCCCUUUCUCUGAGCAUCCCUGUCCUCCGAAGUCCACCCAAACAGCCCCGUCCACCCGUGAGGACAACAGGGCCUUGGGCGAACGAGCUGCCGGCUCUGUCCCAGUGGUCAGAGCAAGUGACAGAGCCAGAGGGCACCGCCUCAUCCUUGGCCGCAGGGUCCGCAGGAGCAGGUCCUCAAGCCUUCAGCGGUGCGACCGUUUACUUGUGCAACCUCCAGCAUCGAACGCGACAGCAGCCCACGCGUGUCCCUGGGACCAAAGCCCAGGUCCAAAAGGGCUCAUAAUGGCCUCACAUUUCAAGUCCUGAUCUCAAAAACAGUGCGCCACACCACAAGGAUGCUCGUCUCCUGGGGCAAGGGAGAGUUGGGCGGAUGUGCCGUAAUUUGAACAAAAUGCAAAAUUGACGCGUUGGAGCCCUCCACCCGAGAGCACGCAAGCCCGGCGGAAAAACCGAACGGCCACGGAGGACAGCGGCCACCCCAUGCCGGGGACUGCCUGCGGGCACGAUGGCAGGGAAGCGGAAGGACGGCUUUCAGUCAGGUCCGGAAAGAAGACAAGAGGAGGACAAUUCCAGGCUGAAGGGUUGGAGCAGAGGCACAGGGACCACCACGUGCGCUGUGCGGCUCGGGCGCGGCAAGCGGGCCUUUUUGGUAUGGGUUGGGGCUCGUUGGGCAAGUUAACAAGCUUGGCAGCUAGGGCAGGGCCGGCCCAGGGUCGGAGAGUUGGGAUGUUGGCCUGAAGGACAGAGGGGACGCCCAGGCUUCGGACCAGGGCUGGGUGGCAGCAAGUUGAGCAGAGCCGGGCACACAGGCCGACGGGCCGCCGAGCUGAGCGUGGGGCUGGGAGCAAGGGCCACCGAGCCAGGUGGGAGCGCGCUUGCUUUAGUGGUCGUAACAGUGAGAGACCAAACACCCGAAGAGAGAGUUCACUGACAGGAUGUGUCUCCAGGUGACGAAGGACCUUCGCUCCCGUGAUCUCCUCCACCUUCAGAACCAUCGGUAGAACCGUCGUCACAGGACACAGGGGAGGAACCAGCUGCUGCCCAGAAGCGUCGCAGGCACUUUUGGGAACGCUGCCUUUGCUGGUUUGGGCGCACUGCCUUCUCCUCUCCCGGCCCGUUAUUCCCGUUCGGGGAAGGCUUUUUCACCGGUAUUUUCCCAGAAGCCUAACGGUCACGGGCCUCGCGUCUUCUCCGGCUGACCCGCCCGUUCGCCGGGCUCACCUCCUCUCUCGGGCUCGGCCGUCACGUGCGAGCGGCCAUCUGCAACCGCCCCCGCGGGACGCGGAGGAACAAAUCCCUGACACUCAGCAGUAUUUUCAGGAUUGUGAUUUUUGAUUUCUUUUAAGAAUCUUUUUUAAUAUGGCCUUCGUUUGAAGUCGCUUCAAAUCUCUCUGGGAAAACAAGAGAAGCUCAAAA